UUGUAACGUGCUUGCUUGUUUC
rnacentral:siRNA from 1 species